rnacentral:rRNA from 1 species
CUUGGUCAUUUAGAGGAAGUAAAAGUCGUAACAAGGUUUCCGUAGGUGAACCUGCGGAAGGAUCAUUAUCGAGUAUGACCGUCGGGGACUGUGCUGGCCUUCGGGCAUGUGCACGUCCCCUUCAUUUCCACACACCUCGUGCACCCUUGAGGCGGCGGCCCUCCCGGGCUUGCCUGCCAUUUUUUACACACACUCUGCUAUGUAUUUUGGGAUGUCUAUUAAAAAAUUGAAACAACUUUCAACAACGGAUCUCUUGGCUCUCGCAUCGAUGAAGAACGCAGCGAAAUGCGAUAAGUAAUGUGAAUUGCAGAAUUCAGUGAAUCAUCGAAUCUUUGAACGCACCUUGCGCUCCCUGGUAUUCCGAGGAGCAUGCCCGUUUGAGUGUCAUGAAAACCUUCAACCCCCUCGCCGCAUCUGCCGAUGAGGGGAUUGGACUUGGGUGCUGCCGCUGCUCUCUCUGCGGCUCGCCUCAAAUGCAUUAGUCGACUCUUGCCGGCCUCACCUUUGACGUGAUAGAAAUCGUCGUCGAGGUUUGGGUUGGCCCACCUGGAGCGGCUCACAACUGUCUUUGGACAUCGAAAGAUACACAUGACCCCUUUGACCUCAAAUCGGGUAGGACUACCCGCUGAACUUAAGCAUAUCAAUAAGCGGAGGA